UAAACGGAAAAGGGUACUAAAAAGCCACACAGAGCAUAUUAUUCAUGCAUGGAUGUUUCUGGAAUCAGCUGUCACUACUAGCAACCCACAAGCUGCCGCUGUUCCCUUCCGCAGGGCAUGUGACUUAACUCUAGUGGCCUAGGCUAAUGGCGCAUUACUCUGUGCAUGCCAUCAUAUGUAUCCGUUAAACAACCGGAGGCCAUACAGAGCAAAAUCCAACGCUAAUCAGUGUUAGUGGCUCCCUUCUCCCUCUAAGCAUGCAGCUAAAAAUCUCUAGAAAGGCUCUCGUGGAAGGGUGGGAUAUUGGGUCUUCGGUAUUUUGCAGUUUUGUAUGUUGCAUUUAAUUUUCUGCCUUGGAUGCUUGUGGAAGAAAAUAGAGGUAUACACUGUGGUGUAGUAGGGAGGGCCAGGGGGCCAUGGCCCCAGGCGCACAAUGAGGGGGCAUGACUCCCUGCGUGCACCUCCUCUGCUCCUGCCCACCAGCUGAUGGGCGGCCCUGUGCGCUGGGCAAGGGUGAGGAGUACAGAGUGAAGAGCACCCUCUGCCCCCCGCCUGGUACGUGGGCAUCAAGGGAGCCCAUCAAUGGUGGGUCUGAGUGAGCAUGGAGAGAGCCCUCUGUGUUUGCCCAGUCUCUGCCACUGACAGGCAGGUUCUUGCAUGCUGGGCUGGGACAGGGUGUGGAGGGUGCUCUGUUCCUGCAGAGGGUGGCGCUCACACACACCAGCCCCAGGUGCAUGGGGGGGUGCACGAUGCCCCUGGGUAUACAUAUGUUAAAUAAAAUGAACAUGGAUUGAAUUUUGAUUCCAACUCCAGUAGGAAUGCAAGGAACUUUAUUUUCUUUCAAAGAAAUCACUACGCUUUCUUAGAAAACCUGAAAACAUUUUUUGGUUCUGUUUUCUACAUGGGUGCUAUUUCUUCUUCUUCUUCUUCUUCUUCUUCUUCUUCUUCUUCUUCUUCACAUCUUAUCUUACUCGGUGCACUUGUAAUUAUGUACUUUUUAUCUUUCAAUAAAGAAUAUAAAAGAAAAAAAACCUGUGGUUGGUUGUUCUUCCUGUCCCCUGUGCAGCCCCUCAUUGAGAAUUGUCCAUGUUCUAGGUUGGGGCAGGGGGGCCUGUAGUCCUCUAGAUCAGCCUUUCUCAACCUGUGGGUCCCCAGAUGUUGUUGAACUACAACUUCCAUCACCCCUAGCUAGCAAGGCCAGAGCUCAGGGAUGAUGGGAGUUGUAAUCCAACAACAUAUGGGGACCCACAGGUUGCGAACCGCUGCUCUAGAUAUUGGUUGGACUCCAACUCCCAUCAGCAUGACUAAUGGUCAGGGGUGAUGGUAUCUGUAUUGGUACAACUUUAUCUGGAGGGCUCCAGGUUCCCCCACCCUGUCUGAGAGCUUCUUUCAAUGCUGUAAAGCAUUUUUCUUUUCCUCCUUACCUGUCACAGACUGGUUGGACACAGAAGAAUGGUGGGAGGAACCAGCUGAGAAACCCUCCCCCCACCAGGGAGAAAGGCUCAGAGCCUGGGGAUCAGUAGUGGGACAAAGAUGAGUGGUCAGAGGGAGAAGAUUGGGAGCAGGAGAUGUCAGAAUCUGAAGAGGUAACAGGGCUUAGUGAGCUGGGGCAGAAGUGGAAGCAGGAGAGGAGUCAAGCCAAGAGACACAGAUGAGUCCGGAAGCUCCCUUUCUCCCUUGUCUCCUGGAACCAGAAAUGGUAUGAAAAGAGCUGAGGAGAGAUUCGUGACACAGAGGGAUAGUCUCCAAUUGCUUGGGGGAAACCCUUAGGCAGCUGUGGGGAAGUGGGGACCUUCAGGCUCCACAACUGCUUCACGAGGGCAAGACCUGCAGGAGACGAGUUGCUGCGCUCAUUAGGCCUGCCACUCCUCUGCAGCUCCUGUUCUUGCUAAUAAAGAGUUAACACCAACUUGCUCGGUGUGAUUUACUGCUGGCUUGCGCCUGUCAUUGACCCUGUGAAUAUCUCCUCAGUUUGCUCACAGCCGAGGGUGGUAGUGUAUCAUGUUGCUUGGAAACUGCUGGGUAUGGUGUGUCGUGGGGGGUUAUGAAAGCUCCAGCUAUGGUAUUUGGUUUGAUCAGUGAUGGGUAGAUCACACCUUCCUGUUGCAGCGGUGGUCCUCGGAGACCUUAUUGUGUGGCUCUGUAAUGAAGACAAAUUACCCUCCAGCAUAGCAUCUAUUCAGUUAUGCUAAUUGAUUCUUGGCCUCAUUAGCCUCCAGGGUCAACUUAGCAUAGAAGGCACUAAUGGAUGACUUUCCCAGACUGUUGUCAGAUAUCACUCAGUUGGGAGCUGAAAAAUUAUUUCACAUUUUGGACUGCAUCAGGUUUCUAUGAGCCAACCUCAAGAAUUUUGGCUCCAGCCCUAUGUAGAUGGCAGUGAAGGGUGAAGAUUAAGAUAAUUAAUGAUAAGUCACACUGGCUUUCUCACCUGUGGUGUGAGUCUGGCUUCUGCCCAUCUUCACUGUUUGUGUUGCAGGUAGGCAGACAGAAAAUCAAAUAUUGCAUCAGCUUAUAGCCUCCCUUCAUGUUUCAAACAGGUUACUUAGAAAUAGCAGUUUUUAAAUCGCUGCACACAUUUAUCCACUUACACGGUACUUUUUGCCUUGCUUAAAGAAUAAAACUUGGUUUUUAACUCUGAGCUUGGAAUGUGCCUUAUGGGGCAGUCAAGACUCAGCAGGUGGUGCUGUCUAUUGUUGCAGAGUUGUCUGGAACCAUGAGGGCUAGGAAAUUUCCAUUUGGGGAGCAGCAGGAGCUUAGCAGAAGAGUGUGCAGCUGCGUGCAGAAGGCCUCAACCCCAGUAAUUUCAUUUUUAGUUUGUAUUCCACCCUUUCAUAUACCACAUUACUGUAUUUAAGGUGGCCUACAACCUAUAGAGGGACCUGGGUGGUGCUGUGGUCUAAACCACUGAGCCUAGGGCUUGCCGAUCGGAAGGUCAGCGGUUUGAAUCCCCAUGAGCACCCGUUGUUCGCUUCCAGCUCCUGCCAACCUAGCAGCUCGAAAGCACAUCAAAGUGCAAGUAGAUGAAUAGGUACCGCUUUGGCGGGAAGGUAAAGGGCGUUUUCGUGCACUGCUCUGGUUCGCCAGAGGUGGCUUAGUCAUGCUUGCCACGUGACCCAGAAAAACUGUUUGCGGACAAACGUCGGCUCCCUCGGCCUGUAAAGCGAGAUGAGCGCCGCAACCCCAGAGUCGUUCGCAACUGGACUUAACUGUUGGGGUCCUUUACCUUUUACAACCUAUAGAAAUGACAAAAGUAUAGCAAAAUCACAUUGCCACCCUAUAACAGUAUAUAACUUUAAUUAAAAAUAAAUUUACAAAAUUGCAGAAAUCUUAUUUCGCAUAAUAGCAUUACAAGUUAAUAAAAUAUAUGCAAACAAAAGAAGCCCCAUCAGUUGCAAGAAACUGAAUAACUGGGAAGAAGCAUCUCUAGAUAAAAGAAUCUCAUGUUGGUAGCAGAGGCUUAGAAAAGACGUGAUAGCUGCUAUCAGUCUGAGCAGACAAUAACACUGAAUAAGGCAACAUAGGGGCAGCUGUGUAUGUUGGUAUGGAUAUGUUGUUUUCUGUUUCAAAAAUAUCAAUAUAGAAUUCCUCAGCCUGGGGUUUAAGCUGCUAGAUUUUGUGGAUGCAAUGGUGGCGUGUUGCUUGUUUUAGUAUCUCUCUCUAACAACCCCCCAAACACUGAAAACAAAAUGAAGUCCAUGUGCAGGUGAUGUCCACUUUGCGCAUGUUCAGUUGAUGCGUGGCCACUGACGCAUGGGUCAUUUUGGACCUGGAAGAGGGUGCAUGGGGUGGACCAACUUGGCUUAUGCACACUCUGCUGAUGCGCACAAAUGCCCAGAACGCAACCCCUGAACAAAAGGGGAGUUGCCUGUAUAGAAAUUCAGAGAUCACAAUCUCAACAAGCCACACAUAAAAAAGGAGGCUGAACAAUCCCUUUGGCAAAUGAUAGUAUCUGUAUACAAAGUCAUACCUAAAUUGGCAGCAGCUACCGCAAAUACGGCAGCCGCCUAAGUUUAUCUGUUUUUCUCUGUUAUUUAAUGAAGAGGCAAUUGUAUGCUGGAUGGGCUAGCUCAAAACCUUCUUUAUAUUGACAUCAGUUGACCUUUUCUGACAAAGUUAUUGUGAUGAUGAAGCAAGCAGUAAUUAGAUCCCUCGGUGGUGCCCAUUGCACAAACAUUCCUAAUGCUCCUCACAGCCUGCAUUAUCUGAAACACAAGGUUGUAAAAAGCUCAUGAAGGAAAGUUUGCAUCCCUCACAAAAAUGCUUCUCACUAGCCAAAGAAAAUGUUUUUCAGUAGUGAAGUUUCUAAUUACCUAGUUUGGCAAAGGGAUAUAACCAGCUUGUAACACUUGGCUGUAUUUGCACUUUUCGGCAAAACUGCAUGUUAAACAAGCCUCUGAGCAUGUUAGGCCAGAUUUCAGCAGACCAGGGGCCCAAAGGCAGCUAUUUUGGAGGUUGUUGUUGUCGUUUAGUCGUGUCCGCCUCUUCGUGACCCCCUGGACCAGAGCACGCCAGGCACUUCUGUCUUCCACCGCCUCCCGCAGUUUGGUCAGGCUCAUGUUUGUAGCUUCAAGACCACUGUCCAACCAUCUCGUCCUCUGUCGUCCCCUUCUCCUUGUGCCCUCCAUCUUUCCCAGCAUCAGGGUCUUUUCCAGGGAGUCUUCUCUUCUCAUGAGGUGGCCAAAGUCUGGGAGCCUCAGCUUCAGGAUCUGUCCUUCCAGUUAGCACUCAGGGCUGGUUUCCUUAAGAAUGGAUGAGUUUGAUCUUCUUGCAGUCCAUGGGACUCUCAAGAGUCUCCUCCAGCACCAUAAUUCAAAAGCAUCAAUUCUUCAGCGAUCAGCCUUCUUUAUGGUCCAGCUCUCACUUCCAUACAUCACUACUGGGAAAACCAUGGCUUUAACUAUACGGACCUUUGUUGGCAAGGUGAUGUCUCUGCUUUUUAAGAUGCUGUCUAGGUUUGUCAUUGCUUUUCUCCCAAGAAGCAGGCGUCUUUUAACUUCCUGGCUGCUCUCACCAUCAGCAGUGAUCAUGGAGCCCAAGAAAGUAAAAUCUCUCACUGCCUCCAUAGUUCUUUGACAUUACUGUCUUAUCUUAGAUCAGGGGUGGGAAGCCUCUGUGGUCCUCUACAUAUUCUUGGACUCCGGCUCCCAUCAACCCCAUCUUGUGUGGCCAAUAGCCAGGGAUGCUGGGAGUUGUAGUUCAGCAGCAUCUGGAAGGCGGCAUAUUCUCCAUGCCUGCCCUAGGUGAAUCUCUCUUCACGAGCUCUUAAAAAAAAGGAAAAGCAUGAUCAAGCCGUCUGACCAAGCAGCCUUUUAUGGGUGAGUAUGUAUUUGGGUGAAUUUUAUCAGCCUGCUGAAUAAACAUUUGCUGAGAUAAAUCAUAAUUACUGAGCCAACUCUGAUUCAAGAUGAGGAAGGUUCAGCCAUCGCAAGUUUUCAAUCAGUGAAUCCUUUUGCAUGCAUUGUGGACUUCAGCUGCAUCUUGGCAACAGUUGAACUAGACUAAUAAAACUACAAGCAUGAAAUCACCACAGUUGUGUGUGACCCUCAAGUAAAUAAUAUUCUCUUCAUUAAGGUUGGGCAACCCACGCCAGUGCCUUCUGAAGGACGGGAGUUCACCAAUAUACAGUGCCUUGUGUAAUUGCCCCCAGUCACUCAAGUGUACUUCACUUGAGUUCCCAUGUUAAAUGCUUUCCAAACCCAUCUAGAAAUCUAGCCACAUGACCUUCAACAUAUGGAUGUCACCUUUUUUCUUAGCAAAGAGAUUCUGCACAUGGUCUUCACAUUUCUUUUUAAAAAAUGAUGGCCUAGUUCUUUAAGUCUUUGAAGGAAUUAGUAAGACCUGGUGCUGACUGUUAGAAGGAGUGAAAUAUUUCAUCAUUUGGAUGAUCAAAUCCUGGCUAAGUUAGCCAAGAUACACACAAGCUCUGUGUCUGUUCCUCCCUUGGCACAGGUAGGGAAAACAAACCAGGAAGACACAGUUAAUUGUAGCUUCUCAUAUAUGCGCAAACUGGGAAACUGUGGUGAAUAGCUUCCCAACAAGCCAAGGAGCUUGGGUGCACCUUAAACCAGAAUUUGAUUGUCCAAACCAGGUCAGUGUUCAAAACAGGUUGCUACAAAGCUCAUCAGCUUGCUAUCACCAAAUGUUAAUAAAUGCAGCCCUCCACCUCCCUGGUUACUGAAGACUCAGUAAACCAUAGCAGCCAGUUCCUAUGGGCCAAGGUCCCUUUGCCCCCCACCCGGCAUAAAAUAUUCGAGGGGGUCAGGCCCCCCUAAAGUUGAGGGGGAUUCACAUUCAAAUGGUGUGUGAGAGCCAUGUCAUGUGAUCAGUUAUACAUUUUGUUACUAUUUUUAUUAUAUAUUUUCUGUGUUUCAUAUUGUAAUUUUAUGUUGUGAAGUGCCCUGAGAUCUAUGGAUGUCGGGCAGUAUACAAAUUUAAUUUAAUUUAAUACAAUACAAUAAAAUAAAUAACCUACCAC